UACAGAGGUCUCAAGCGUUGUUCGGAUUCAUUGGGCGUAAAGGGUGCGUAGGCGGCGCGGUAAGUCGGGUGUGAAAUCUCGGAGCUUAACUCCGAAACUGCAUUCGAUACUGCCGUGCUUGAGGACUGGAGAGGAGACUGGAAUUUACGGUGUAGCGGUGAAAUGCGUAGAUAUCGUAAGGAAGACCAGUGGCGAAGGCGACGGGCUGGAUCUCUUCUGACGCUGAGGCGCGAAAGCCAGGGGAGCAAACGGG
rnacentral:rRNA from 1 species